rnacentral:rRNA from 1 species
AGCAGCCGCGGUAACUCCAGCUCCAAUAGCGUAUAUUAAAGUUGUUGCAGUUAGAAAGCUCGUAGUUGAAUUUCGGGGUCAGUAGGUUGGUCGUGCCAACGGUAUGCACUGGCCUUACUGAUUCCUCCCUCUUGUAGAACCGUAAUGCCAUUAAUUUGGUGUUGCGGGGAAACAGGACUGUUACUUUGAAAAAAUUAGAGUGUUUAAAGCAGGCUAACGCCUGAAUACAUUAGCAUGGAAUAAUGAAAUAGGACGUUCGACCCUAUUUUGUUGGUUUCUAGGAUUGACGUAAUGAUUAAUAGGGAUAGUUGGGGGCAUUAGUAUUCAAUUGUCAGGGGUGAAAUUCUUGGAUUUAUUGAAGACUAACUACUGCGAAAGCAUUUGCCAGGGAUGUUUUCAUUAAUCAAGAACGAAAGUUAGGGGAUCGAAGACGAUCAGAUACCGUCGUAGUCUUAACCAUAAACUAUGCCGACUAGGGAUCGGAUGAUGUUAAUUUUUUAAUGACUCA